UAUAACCCGAUUAUAUAGGCUCCUAUUAUCAGUUCAUCCUUCGUUCUCUCCAUCUAACCCUAAUCACCUCCACAGCCGCCAUUUCACCUCUCCGUCUUCAAUCUUCCCCAGUCUCUGCGUUGGACCUCCCUCAUUGUUUACUCAUUGAUCGAUUAUGUGUUGAUUAGGAAUUCAAUCUUAUGUGAUCUGGGAGUCAAGACCUAUACCCUUGCACUGAAUCAAAACAUAUGGUUUGUCAUGUACAGGUUAUAGCAUCAAUUGCCUAUUUGAUGGAGUUUCAAAGCAAUUAUGGUCUACAUGUUACCAUAGUUGCAAGUACCUUUUUCUGGAUUGGAAGGUUUCUUAUUUUGUUGAAUUUCAUUGUGUUUUGAUGAACUAUAUAUAUUUUUUUUAAUUGUAAGUGUUAACUUUUUGUUAACAGUGAGUUACAAAAUUGGUUGCCAAAUGUUUCAACAGUCAAAAUUGUUCUCUUAGGUAAAGAUGU
rnacentral:lncRNA from 1 species